ACAGCCUUCGGAGCAGCAAGUGAGCAGUGCAGCAGGGCAGGGAAAGAUGCCUUAAACUCCUGCACUGAUGCUCUCCUCCAGAAUCAUUCAGAGGCCUAGAGGGGAGCAGCAGGAAAGGUGAGCAGAAACGAGCCUGGCGGAACCGGUCGCUUCAGUCGUCUGCUAGCUCACCUUUGAAGUGGUUUUAAAAAUCAGGGAGGAGGGGCAGAUAUGAGUUCAGCUCUUUUACUGCAACUUCACAGAAUUUGAAGACGUGGAGGGUAAGAGGCCACCUUUUCCCCACCAGAAAAUAGUGUAUCCAUUCAGAGAGAAGAGAAUACAGCUAAUAAAACAGGCUGUGAUGCUCA